rnacentral:lncRNA from 1 species
UGAAAGGACACCUGGUUAACGGGAGCUUGUACAAUUUUCUCUUUCUUAUACACGAUUCUUGAUCAAAUUUAAAGGUUCAGUUUAGAAUCUGUAUCUCUUACUUUGAAGCUGUUGAAAUUCUAGCAACAUCACCAGCAACAAAACACCAGACUAAUUGGAGCCUUUGUAUAUGAGGAAAAUACAACCAUUGCUGUGCUCCAGCUGAAUUGAAGACUAAGAAGGAGAGACUAUCCUCUUUGGUUGGUUAAAGGAAAAAGGAGAAAAACUAAUUUUCAAAUUUUAAAAAGUGAUUCAAGUGAGUUACUAGAAACCUUUGAAAAACUAAUACAAUCUUGGAACUGUGGAAGACGUUAGAAGAAAGAAAUUUUAACGUGGAUUCUUUCAUGAAACAUUAAAGCCUAUAUAAAGCCAAAAACAUAAUUAUCAGAAAAUACAGAGCUGUUUCAGGGGACCUGGACCAGAACAAGCAGGGACCUCAUUUCAGAGUGGACAAGUGUCAUUGGAACUGAGCAGGCUGAAGCUUCAAGAGCAAUACCUUAUGGCAGUGAGAAGCAAUAGCGGUCCUCCGGUUCUGUUUUAGCUUGGCCUGGGAAAGAGACUUUCAAUGCAGUAAGUCCCUGGGGUUGUUGGACAAUGUGAGAGUAGAACUCAAGAGGGAAACACUAGACUGUCUGCUAAAAGAUCAGACCAAAACCCCUAAAUCUGUGGCAAUAUGGCGCCGGGGUCAAAAGUUAUAUUGCAUUUAAUCCAAU